rnacentral:rRNA from 1 species
GAUGAACGCUAGCUACAGGCUUAACACAUGCAAGUCGAGGGGCAGCGACAGUGUACGCAAUACAUGGGUGGCGACCGGCGCACGGGUGAGUAACACGUAUCCAACCUGGUCCCAUACUACGGGGAUAGCCUUUCGAAAGAAAGAUUAAUACCCGAUGGUACUCAGAUUAAGGCUAUCUUAGAUUUGAUUAAAGAAUUCGGUAUGGGGUGGGAUGCGUUCCAUUAG